rnacentral:tRNA from 1 species
UUAUGGGGGGGGCACCCCCCUCCCCCCCAGGGC